AGUUUGGUUUUGUCUUUUUUUUUAAAGUGUGUUCAAGUUAUGUUUAAGCUUCCAUAGAUCAAGUGCAUACUUAAAUUAAUUUUAAAUAUGUCAAAACUAUUCCCUUUAUAAAAGAAUAUUGAGAUGUUGGCUGUCCUAGAUUUUCUCAUUUGUGCUAAUCAUGAAGUAUAUUUCACUAGUUUAGCUCUAUGUUUCUUUACUUUGAAAAUAAAUGUUGAGGUAUAUUUAAAAUAAUAAUGGAAAAAUAUGAGGAAAUUGUAGCUAUCUAAAAUAGAUCAUUUUUGCUGAAAAUUGUUCUUAGCAAAACUAACAUGGUAACUUUUAUUAUAAGUAUACAGAUAAAUUAUAUAAGUUAAUAUUAACUUUUGUUAUAGUUUUAAUUAUUUGUAAUUUUUUAGUUUUUAACUGUUUUAAAAUAAGUUCCCAGGAAAAUUUUGCAUUUCCGAAUUAGGCUUCACUUAGUUGGACAACAUUCAUGUUUAAAUGUAGCAACACAACCAAAAAUGUGUUUUGUAUUUUAUUGCAUAUAAAGUUUCUGUCAAAUCAAGAAUGUGUAAUAUCUUGACCAUGUGUUCUUUUUUUUUUUUCAGGCAGGGCUUUAUUGGGGUCCCUGCUGCAGCAGGGGGCAGUGAGAACCAACAACAGGUUCCCGUGCUUGCUCUCUCCCAUGUGUUCUUAUAGAAACAGUUUUUGAGGAAUCAUAGAUUGGAAUUUAUAAGAACAAAUUCUGAAGGAGAUGUGAUUGAAGGAGCAUUUGUACUGAUAGCUGAGCAGAGGUUAUGAGAUAACUCACUGAAGAAGAGACUGCUUUAUACUUCAUAGUACUAUUAUUUAAAAAGAAAACAGGAUUUUAAAAAUCCCUUCAAAUGUUUCACUUUUUGCUGCUCUGAGAAAUUAAGGUUCUUGGUUAACUAAGUAACACUAAUUAAAUUCUGUUUUCUGUGCAUUGGUGCUGUUAAUGACAGAAAAAAACCUUCUGAUUAAUAGGAAUUCAGAAGCUCUGGAAAGUCAUUUUUAUCUUUUUCAAGAGCUUAAGAAUUUAAAUAACUAGAGCAAUAGAAUUCAAGAGAUCAUACAGAAAGAAAAUUAUUUUUGCUGUAUUAAAUGCAAAAUUUGUUUUUUUCUCCUUUUUUAAAUUUUUAUUUUUACAUAAUUCCAAUUAUGUCAAAUUGAAAUAAAUUUCAAGUGAAAUUUUAAUUAUGAAGAAUUACUACAGAAAAGUUAAAUAAUGUCUCUAUCCCUACCCAGAUUUAGCCAAACUGUAAGGUUGAGAGCACUGUCUGUCGGCCCAAGACAUCUAACCCCAACUUCAAGGAAUUAAGGUUUGCCUACAAAGUUAGAGGAAAGAGCCCAUACAAGACCACUCUCACUUCUGACACCAACUGCAGCUAGAUGUUAACAUAUUGGGAAACCUUGCAAGAUAGAUCUUGAAGUUGGUGAAAUUUCUAUCAGCCAGGGUUCCUGCAUGGUGGCAUGAAACAGAUCCCCACAACCUUACCCAGCCACCUGUUGAACUUCACAUGAUUGUAUAAAAUGAUGGGUCUGCUUCCAUGGAUGGGCCUAAAAUAUAGAACUGUAGAAGAAAUGAUAUGAACAGGAGCAAGUUCAGUAGUCUAAGUACACAUUUUUCAACAUUGUAUAGUGAAGAUCGGUUAGUGGUAUCCAAGUUCCCUCACCCCUUUCUCCAGAAGGACCCACAGGUAUUCAGGACUGUUGAAUGACAGGUUACCUGUAGGUAAAAAAUCAGAGAAACUUUCAUUCUGCUCCCCAAAACUCUGAAAGUUCUAAUCCUUCCUCUUUCUAAACAUCUUCCUCAUCAGGUUGAAUUCCCACUCUACCUUUCCUUUUCUUUUUCCACUUCCAGUUUUAUUUGUUCUUUUGAAGCCAGAGAAAACAGCCCUACAAGUAUGCCUAUAAGAACGAUCUGGAGAUUGGUUCAAGACAGAGUAGAAGGACGUGCGCUCACUCCCUCUUGUGAGAACACCGGAAUCACAACUAACUGCUGAACAAUAAUUGACAGGAAGACACUGGAACUCACCAGAAAAGAUACCCCACAUCAAAAGACAAAGGAAAAGCCACAAUGAGAUGGUAGGAGGGGUGCAAUCACAAUAAAAUUAAAUCCCGUAAUCACUGGGUGGGUGACUCACAAACAGGAGAACAGUUAUACCACAGAAGUCCACCAACUGGAGUGAAGGUUCUGAGCCCCACGUCAGGCUUCCCAACCUGGGGGUCCAGCAACAGGAGGAGGAAUUCCCAGAGAAUCAGACUUUGAAGGCUAGUGGGAAUUGACUGCAGGACUUUGACAGGACUGGGGGAAACAGAGACUCCACUCUUGGAGGGCACACACAAAGUAGUGUGCACAUCAGGACACAGCAGAAAGGAGCAGUGACCCCAUAGGAGACCGAACCAGACCUACCUGCUAGUGUUGGAGGGUCUCCUGCAGAGGUGGGGGGUGUCUUUGGCUCACUGUGGGGACAAGGACACUGGCAGCAGAAGUUCUGGGAAGUACUCCUUGGUGUGAGCCCUCUCAAAGACCACCAUUAGCCCCACCAAAGAGCCAGGUAGUCUCCAGUGCUGGGUCCCCUCAGGCCACACAACCAAUAGGGAGGGAACUCAGCCCCACCCGUCAGCAGAUAAGUGGAUUAAAGUCGUACUGAGCUCUGCCCACCAGAGCAACACCCAGCUCUACCCACCACCAGUCCCUCCCUUCAGGAAGCUCACAAAAGCCUCUUAGAUAGCCUCAUCCACCAGAGGGCAGACGGCACAAGCAAGAAGAAUGACAAUCCUGCAGCAUACGGAACAAAAACCACAUUCACAGAAAGAUAGACAAAAUGAAAUGGCAGAGAACUAUGUACCAGAUGAAGGAACAAGAUAAAACCCCAGAAAAACAACAAAAUGAAGUGGAAAUAGGCAACCUUCUAGAAAAAGAAUUCAGAAUAAUGAUAGUGACGAUGAUCCAGGACCUCAGAAAAAGAAUGGAGCCAAAGAUCGAGAAGAUGAAAGAAAUGUUUAACAAAGAUCUAGAAGAAUUAAAGAACAAACACCUAAAAGAAUUAAAAAACAAACAGAGAUGAGCAAUACAAUAACAUCAAAGAUACACUAGAAGGAAUCAAUAGCACAAUAUAUGAGGCAGAAGAAUGGAUAAGUGACCUGGAAGACAGAAUGGUGGAAUUCACUGCCAUGGAACAGAAUAAAGAAAAAAGACUAAAAAGAAAUGAAGACAGCCUAAGAGAUCUCUGAGACAACAUUAAAUGCACCAACAUUCGCAUUAUAGGGGUCCCAGAAGAGAGAAAGAAAAGAUCUGAGAAAAUAUUUGAAGAGAUUAUAGACAAAAACUUCCCUAACAUGGGAAAGAAAAUAGCCACCCAAGUCCAGGAAGUUCAGAGAAUCCCAGGCAGGACAAACCCAAGGAGAAACAUGCCAAGACACAUAGUACACAAAAAUUAAAGACAAAGAAAAAUGAUUAAAAGCAACAAAGGGAAAAUGACAAAGAACACACAAGGGAACUCCUGUAAGGUUAACAGCUGAUUUCUCAGCAGAAACUCCACAAGCCAGAAGCGGGUGGCAUGAUAUAUUUAAAGUGAUGAAAGGAAAGAACCUACCACCAAGAUUACUCUACCCGGCAAGGAUCUCAUUCAGAUUCGACAGAGAAAUCAAAAGCUUUACAGAGAAGCAAAAGCUAAGAGAGUUCAGCACCACCAAAUCAGCUCCACAACAAAUGCUAAGCAAACUUCUCUAAGUGGGAAACACAAGAGAAGAAAAGGACCUACAAAAACAAACCCAAAACAAUUAAGAAAAUGGUAACAGGAACAUACAUAUUGAUAAUACCUUAAUUGUGAAUGGAUUAAAUGCUCCAACCAAAAGACACAGGCUUGCUGAAUGGAUACAAAAACAACAUCCACAUAUAUGCUGACUACAAGAGAACCACUUCAGUCCUAGGGACACAUACAGACUGAAAGUGAGGGGAUGGAAAAAGAUAUUCCAUGCAAAUGGAAAUCAAAAGAAAGCUGGAGUAGCUAUACUCAUAUCAGAUAAAAUAGACUUUAAAAUAAAGAAUGUUACAAGAGACAAGGAAGGACACUACAUAAUGAUCAAGGGAUCAAUCCAAGAAGAUAUAACAAUUAUAAACAUGUAUGCAUCCAAUGUAGGAGCACCUCAAUAUAUAAGGCAACUGUUAACAUCUAGAAAAGAGGAAAUCAACAGUACCACAAUAAUAGUAGGGGACUUUAACACCUCACUUACACCAAUGGACAGAUCAUCCAGAUAGAAAAUUAAUGAGGAAACACAAGCUUUAAAUGACACAAUGGAACAGAUAGAUUUAAUUGAUAUUUAUAGGACAUUCCAUCUGCAAACAGCAGAUUACACUUUCUUCUCAAGUGCACACAGAACAUUCUCCAACAUAGAUCAUAUCUUGGGUCACAAAUCAAGCCUCGGUAAAUUUAAGAAAAUUGAAAUUGUAUCAAGCAUCUUUUCUGACUACAAUGCUGUGAGAUUAGAAAUCAACUGCAGGAAAAAAAACUGUAAAAAAACACGAACACAUGGAGGCUAAACAAUAUGCUACAAAAUAACCAAGAGAUCACUGAAGAAAUCAAAGAGGAAAUCAAAAAAUACAUAGAGACAAAUAACAAAGAAAACACAGCAAUCCAAAACCUAUGGGAUGUAGCAAAAGCAGUUCUAAGAGGGAAGUUUAUAGCUAUACAAGCCUACCUCAGAAACAAGAAAAAUCUCAAAUAAACAAUCUAACCUUACAGCUAAAGGAACUAGAGAAAGAAGAACAAAGAAAACCCAAAGUUAGUAGCAGGAAAGAAAUCAUACAAAUCAGAGCAGAAAUAAAUGAAAUACAAACAAAGAAAACAAUAGCAAAGAUCGAUAAAACUGAAACCUGGUUCUUUAAGGAGAUAAACAAAAUUAGUAAACCUUAAGCCACAUUCAUCAAGAAAAAGAGGGAGAGGACUCAAACCAAUAAAAUUAAAAAGGAAAAAGGAAAAGUUACAACAGACACUACAGAAAUACAAAGCAUCAUGAGAGACUACUACAAGCAACUCUAUGCCAAUAAAAUGGACAACCUGGAAUAAAUGGACAAAUUCUUAGACAGGUAUAACCUUCCAAGACUGAACCACGAAGAAAUAGAAAACAUGAACAGACCACUAACAGGCACUGAAAUUG